CGACAGCCUCCGGGGUUGGGGGUAAGUAGAAGGGGGUGAGGGGCCAGCACUAGUUGACUCAAGGCACCCUGGUGGGGACGGAGAGGUUUUUUCGCUCAGUGGUGCAGGCCAUCAGGCAGGGGUGUCCAGGCAGGGCCCGGGUGCAAGAAAACAUUCUGUGUGCGCUAGUGCGAGAGGAUCUUCUACAGUCACCUGCCUUCAUGCCAUUACAGACAGACGGGAAGUCACUGGGUUCUAGGACAUAAAAAGACCUACAUGUUGGCUAGCCUAAAUCGAACCCUUUUAUAGUAAUAAAGAUUCAUCAAUGUUUUAAACUGUCCACUGUCAGCCCCCUGGGACUCAGGUGAACCAACUCUCUUUGGGAAUCUAUCUUAGAAGAUGAAACCAUAAAGCCUUCAGUUUCAAUGUCAGGGAUGCACACUCUAUAUCUGGUGAAAUUAUGGAGGGGUGAAAACUUCUGUACAGCAAACUGUACCUCCAAAUCUUUAAUGUCGAAAUAAAGGGCUUUUUGCCAUUUCUGUUUUCAGUUCA
rnacentral:lncRNA from 1 species